rfam:Clostridium sp. CAG:221 genomic scaffold, scf108
AAAUAUCUUCAGGGCGGGGUGAAAUUCCCCACCGGUGGUUAUAGCCCACGAGCUAGAAAUAGCAUGAUUCGGUGUGAUUCCGAAGCCGACAGUAUAGUCUGGAUGAAAGAAGGAAAUA